CAGGAGGUGCUUGCACUUCGCUGACGACCGGCGCACGGGUGCGUAACGCGUAUACAAUCUACCUUUUGCUGAGGGAUAGCCCAGAGAAAUUUGGAUUAAUACCUCAUGGUAUGUAUUAAUGGCAUCAUUAAUAUAUUAAAGGUUACGGCAAAAGAUGAGUAUGCGUUCUAUUAGCUAGAUGGUAAGGUAACGGCUUACCAUGGCGACGAUAGAUAGGGGCCCUGAGAGGGGGAUCCCCCACACUGGUACUGAGACACGGACCAGACUCCUACGGGAGGCAGCAGUGAGGAAUAUUGGACAAUGGGCGCAAGCCUGAUCCAGCCAUGCCGCGUGCAGGAAGACUGCCCUAUGGGUUGUAAACUGCUUUUAUACAGGAAGAAACACUCCCUCGUGAGGGAGCUUGACGGUACUGUAAGAAUAAGGAUCGGCUAACUCCGUGCCAGCAGCCGCGGUAAUACGGAGGAUCCAAGCGUUAUCCGGAAUCAUUGGGUUUAAAGGGUCCGUAGGUGGAUAAUUUAGUCAGAGGUGAAAUCCUGCAGCUCAACUGUAGAAUUGCCUUUGAUACUGGUUAUCUUGAAUUAUUAUGAAGUAGUUAGAAUAUGUAGUGUAGCGGUGAAAUGCAUAGAUAUUACAUAGAAUACCAAUUGCGAAGGCAGAUUACUAAUAAUAUAUUGACACUGAUGGACGAAAGCGUGGGGAGCGAACAGGAUUAGAUACCCUGGUAGUCCACGCCGUAAACGAUGGUCACUAGCUGUUUGGACUUCGGUCUGAGUGGCUAAGCGAAA
rnacentral:rRNA from 1 species